rnacentral:rRNA from 1 species
GAUGAACGCUGGCGGCGUGCCUAAUACAUGCAAGUCGUGCGGAAAGGCCACUUCGGUGGUACUCGAGCGGCGGACGGCAGAGUAACGCGUAGGAACAUACCCCCAAACUGAGGCAUAACUGCUCGAAAGAGCAGCUAAUACCGCAUGUGAUCUUCGGAUUAAAGCUUCGGCGGUUUGGGAAUGGCCUGCGUCCGAUUAGCUAGUUGGUGAGGUAAAUGCUCACCAAGGCUUCGAUCGGUAGCUGGUCUGAGAGGAUGAUCAGCCUGACUGGAACUGAGAACGGUCCAGACUCCUACGGGAGGCAGCAGUAGGGAAUUUUCCACAAUGGGCGAAAGCCUGAUGGAGCAACGCCGCGUGCAGGAUGAAUGCCUUCGGGUUGUAAACUGCUUUUAUUAGUGAAGAAUAUGACGGUAACUAAUGAAUAAGGGUCGGCGUAACUACGUGCCAGCAGCCGCGGUAAU